rnacentral:rRNA from 1 species
AUGGGUUUCAUGAAUCACCAUAUCGAGAGAUUUGUCGACACAGCUUGUUGCCAGUACCAUAUAACUGGAAUUAACCGAUGCAAGUCCAAGAAGGAUUGGCCGGUGCUGCCGGCUGGCGUCAAGUUCGAUCCCACAGAUCAGGAGGUGAUCAAGCACCUUGAGGCCAAAGUGAGUGGUGACAGCGCGGGAUCUCACCCUCUCAUUGAUUUGUUCAUACCAACCAUCGUCAGCGAGCAUGGCAUAUGUUACACCCAUCCUGAGAAACUUCCAGGUAUCACACUGAGUGGCCUAAGCAAGAAUUUCUUCCAGCGCAAUUCCAGGGCGUUCAAAAGGGGCACGUGGACGCGUCGCAAGAUACAGUCGAAGUGCGGCAUGCAUGCGAUGUGGCACAAGACCGGCAAUACCUUGCCGGUGAUGGUCACCGGCCGGCAGACGGGCAGCAAAAAGGUUUUGGUGCUGCACACCAACAAGAACUUUGACCAGCAGAGGACCAACUGGGUGAUGCACCAGUACCACCUCGGGGACCUGGAGCAAGAGAAGGAGCGGGAGCUGGUCCUCUGCAAGAUUUUCUACCAGACAAACACUAGGGCCAGGAGUCGAGCAAGUUUCAACUGGGCUAUAGACUGCCCAGGCUUGGUUUUGUUUUUAUCAGGCCCAGCCCAUGACGACAACGGGCCACAAAGAUCCAGCAGUUCGCACGCGAGUCAGGAGCAGAGCGACCGUGACAGCCACCUCCCCUCCUGUGCGCCGCAUCGCCAUCGGGCCACCGGCUACUUCCCCCACGCCGCGUACAGUCCCAGGGACAGCCUCCCUCCUUGCCGCUCGUCCCCAAUCCCCGCAGCUCAACACUGUCGAUUGCCAGUCUACCGCUGCUGCUCUAGCUGGGCAGUGCCACCGCUCUACUCUAGCAACUGCCUGAAUCCGUACUCCUCGUCUCCGCGCCACUGCUCUACUCCGGACACUGCCCGACUUCGGAAUACGAUCUAA